AGUGAACGCUGGCGGCAGGCCUAAUACAUGCAAGUCGAACGGCAGCACAGCAGAGCUUGCUCUGUGGGUGGCGAGUGGCGGACGGGUGAGGAAUACAUGGGAAUCUGCCCAGUCGUGGGGGAUAACGUAUGGAAACGUACGCUAAUACCGCAUGCGCCCUAAGGGGGAAAGCCGGGGACCGCAAGGCCUGGCGCGAUUGGAUGAGCCCAUGUUCGAUUAGCUAGUUGGCGGGGUAAAGGCCCACCAAGGCGACGAUCGAUAGCUGGUCUGAGAGGAUGAUCAGCCACACUGGAACUGAGACACGGUCCAGACUCCUACGGGAGGCAGCAGUAGGGAAUAUUGGACAAUGGGGGCAACCCUGAUCCAGCCAUGCCGCGUGAGUGAAGAAGGCCCUCGGGUUGUAAAGCUCUUUUGUCCGGAAGAAAAGCAAUCGGUUAAUACCCGGUUGUUCUGACGGUACCGGAAGAAUAAGCACCGGCUAACUUCGUGCC
rnacentral:rRNA from 1 species